ACGUUAUGUGAUCAGGUCAGGAUCACGACUAAUUGCAAUCACCUGGGCGUGCGGGCUGGGGGUCAUGGGUACGUAACUUCCUUCCCGACAAACACAAAAGAAGCUCUCCCAAAUUGUUUGGUACGCAAGUUGCUUGUCGCUGGUCGGUACAAACCGCGCACUUCAUGCUGGGUUUUGGUUGCGAACAACUCCCUCGCUGUGGUCUGGGUAGGUGGAAUGUUUCAUGUACUCCUUACACUUUUAAUGUGAGUUGUUGCCACUGCUGUAGACCACGAACGUUUGUCUGACAUGUAGGUAAUAGCAUAAAGUGAGAGUUUGUGUUUAGCCACGUAGUUUGAACACGGGGCAGGUGGUUGUAGUGUCGUAACGUUUGGCUCAUCUUGCUAUAGACUGUCAUCUCCUCCCUACUCCUGUUUCCCUGUGACUACUCCCUCCUCUGCUCCUGUUGCCCUGGGCUAGCUCGCAUUGUGGAAAAGGCCGAGACUAAGUGUAAGGAUGGACAAUGAGGAGAUGGCAGCUCAACUUAGAACCCUGACUGAGCUUGUGCAGCAAUUGCAGGCAGACAACACAAAACUUAGGGAAGAGGUCGCCCAAAGGUCAGUUCCGCCAACACCCGAUAGUUUGCCAGGUCAGUCCCCUAGGCCUGGUCCUGUAAAUGAGGCCGUUAGACCAGCCCCAACUGGAGUAGUAGAACGCUAUGUGUAUAUCCCUCGUGAGCGUAAGUGCCCACGGUUCUCUGGGAGACUGUCUCAUGAUUCUUUAACGGUGGAGGAUUGGGUGGAGGAGGCCCGCCGCCACUUAUCUUCACGGCAUAUGCCACUUUCCGAACAGGUUUUGACUAUUUUUGAUUUGUUAGAUGGUGAGGCCAGGACCGAGGUUAAGUUUCGCCCUGCUUCCGAUAGAGAUGACCCCGAUAAGAUCUUUGGUAUACUUACCAGUAUUUAUGGUUGCUCCCACUCCUAUAUUAGUCUACAGAAGCAGUUUUUCCAGCGACGGCAACUUGCAGGGGAGUCUUUGAGGGAAUACUCCCAUGCUCUUAUGCACAUGAUGGAAGCUGUAAAGAGGAGGGAUCCGGUCUGUUUUGCGAAUCCUGAUGUGGUAUUGCGUGAUCAGUUCAUAGAGCAUGUAGGGGACAGUAUGUUGAAACGGGAGCUGCGACGUCAAGUACGGCUCCACCCAACUAUCACUUUCUAUGAUGUCCGUAGUGAAGCUAUUCGUUGGGUAGAGGAGGGUGAGCACUCUAGUGACCCUAGGCCCCGUGCACAUUCCUGUAGUACCAAUGUAGUCCAAGAGCAUGAUGUUGACUCCAACGCAGUGUCUGUUAAGCCUACCAAUGAGUUGACUGAGCUAAAAGAGAGUCUCCGUAAGCAACAGUCUCAAUUAGACACCAUUUUGCGCCGUCUCGAUUCCCCUUUGCUACCUGACCAGUCCAUCCGUAGGCCACUUGUGCGUAGCUCUCGUUAUCGUUUCCAAGCUGAUGGCAAGCCCAUAUGUUUGCGAUGUAACCAACCUGGCCAUAUUGCACGUUUUUGUCAACCUCCAAAUGCUGCUCCUAGAGCAGAGAUAGAGUCCCACUCUCUCCCUCGGCAGCAGCCGGAAAACUAGUACCCCCUGACGUUAUGGCCCAAACGUUGGGUGGGGAGUCAUUGGGCUUGACAUUAAUAGGCACACGACAACUCAUUGGCAAAUGUCCAGUAGUAGAGGUUAAGAUUGGGGGUGUGGCGGUGGCUUGCUUGCUGGACACUGGCUCUAUGGUGACUACAGUCACCCAGAAAUUUUUCGAGCAGCAGUUACAACCCCUUUUUCACACUGGUUUACAAUCUUGUAACUGGCUUAAGUUAAAAGCAGCAAACGGCUUGGAGAUACCAUACUUAGGAUAUCUAGAACUAGAUGUACAUCUUUUUGGCCGAACCCUGCCUAAAAUGGGUAUCCUCGUCAUUAAAGACCCAGCUGACCCAGACGCCCAGGCCCGCAAAGAUUCUGUUCCCGGCCUCCUUGGAAUGAACAUUAUCAGCAAGUGCUAUCAAGAAUUGUUUGUCGACCAUGGCAGCGCCUUAUUUCGAUCCCCUGAUGUCCGGCAGGCUGGCAGGGUGUGGCAGCAAGCCCUGUCUGAAUGUCAACAUCUUGAACGUGCCUUGGAGAGUGGCAAAGUGGGUUCUGUACGGGUGCAGCCAGGGCCAGCGAUCCAAGUGCCAGCAGGGUCCAUGAAGCUGGUUCCAGCCACUUGCCACCCAGGAUUGGGGUCCACACUUCCGUCUGCUCUUCUAGAGCCUGUAUCGUUCACUGAUGGCCAUCUGCCAGGUAACCUGCUCAUUCCAACAGCUUACCUUUCCGUCACUUGUGGCCGGGUUCAAGUGCCAGUUGUUAAUAUCGGAUGUCAAGAUCAGUGGCUUUGGCCAAAGACCGUGCUCGGGAAACUUUAUGUUGCCACCUCACCGGUUUCUGCUUCUGCCAUCAACUUUGAAAUCCAGGGAGACAGUCACGAGCAGAUAGCCUUUAUCCAGUCCAUUCACACAGGAGAACACACCGAUACAAGCUUUUCCCAGCUUACCUGGCCCACAUUGUCAGAUCAAGAACAGCAGGAAGCUCGCGGGCUGUUGGAGAAGUACAGCAAUACAUUCAGUCAGAGUGAUGGGGACUUAGGAUGUACCAACUUAGUCCAACACACCAUUCCCUUGCUGGAUGAUGCCCCUGUGCGGCAACGGUAUCGCCGCCUUCCACCUUCUCAAUAUGACUUGGUGAAAAAGCACGUCCAAGAGUUGCUAGACCAUAACAUCGUCAGGCCCAGUUGCAGUCCUUAUGCAUCACCUAUUGUGGUGGUCCAGAAGAAAGAUGGUUCAAUUCGCCUGUGUGUCGACUACCGCCAGCUCAACGCCAAGACACGUAAGGACGCAUUCCCACUUCCCAGGAUAGAAGAGUCCCUGGAUGCAUUGAGUGGAGCCAAGUGGUUCAGUACCUUGGACUUAGCCAGUGGCUAUAACCAAGUCCCAGUCAGCGAGCAAGAUCGUGAGAAGACCGCGUUUUGCACGCCCUUUGGGCUUUUUGAAUUCAACAGGAUGCCCUUUGGGCUGUGUAACGCUCCAGGUACUUUCCAACGCUUAAUGGAGCGCAUUUUUGGAGAUCAGAGCUUCCAUGCCCUCUUAUUGUACCUGGACGACAUCGUGAUCUUCUCCACCACGUUCCAACAACACCUUGAGCGCCUAGAGAUGGUAUUGACCCGACUUCAGCAACAAGACCUGAAACUGAAGCUAAAGAAAUGCCGUUUUUUUCAGACUGAGGUCAGCUACUUGGGGCAUGUGAUAUCUGCAGCAGGAGUGGCCACCGAUCCUGAGAAGAUCCGAGUGGUUGCAGAAUGGAAGAGGCCCUCCACAGUCAAAGAGCUUCGUUCCUUCCUUGGGUUCGCCUCAUAUUAUAGGCGAUUUGUGGAGGGGUUUGCAAGCCUUGCAGCCCCUUUGCAUAAGCUGGUAGGUGCCCUACAGGGUACCCGCAAGAGACCUGGGCCUCGGAUCCAGGGUUCCUUCGCACAGCACUGGACUGGAGCCUGUGAAACAGCCUUCUCAGCCUUGAAAGAACGACUGAUUUAUGCCCCCGUCCUAGGAUAUGCGGAUUUCACACUCCCAUUUAUCGUAGAGACUGAUGCAAGUAAUUCUGGGUUGGGCGCGGUAUUAUCGCAAGAGCAGGCUGGGCAGCGACGGCCAAUUGCAUAUGCCAGCCGAGGUCUCCGCCCCAGUGAAAGGAAUAUGACCAACUACAGUUCAAUGAAGCUGGAGCUUGUAGGCCUGAAGUGGGCGGUUACCGAAAAAUUCCGUGAGUACCUUCUUGGUCACAAGUUUACAGUUUACACGGACAACAACCCGCUAAGUUACCUGCAAUCAGCCAAGUUGGCGGCCGUGGAACAACGCUGGGUGUCCCAGUUGGCUCUCUUUGACUACGAGAUCAAGUACCGACCCGGCACCGCCAACCGCAAUGCGGAUGCACUGUCCCGACUGCCCUCUACCCCGGCCUCUCCAUCAGCUACCCCAGAGGUGUCUGUUCUUCCUCAAUGUUCCAUGCCAGGUGAGACCCCCGGGCUGGGCCCCCGGGUGGUUGAUUCACUGGAAGUGGGGGCUAUUGUACCCAGGGCUCCUGCCCUCCCUACGGGUGUGAUGCGAACUCAGACCCCCGGGCUGGGCCCCCGGGUGGCUGAUCCACUCAAGGUGGGUGCUAUCGUUUCAGGGGAUCCUCCCCUCCCUACAUGGGUGAUGCGCGCUGAGACCCCUGGGCUGGGCCCCCAGGGGGUCGAAUCCCUUUCAAGUGGGCUUGUCAUGCCAGGUGUUCCAGUUCCCCCGCAAUGUGCACUGAGUAGCGUGGCCCCUGGGCUGGGCCCCCAGGUGGCCAACAUCUGUGAAGUUGAAGCUGCACCAUCACGGAGUAAGAAGGACUUAAGAGUACUCCAAGCGGCCGAUCCUUGCAUUGUGGCAUUUAUGCGCUUUUGGAGGAGGAACCAUCCACCGACUGCUAUCGAAUUGAAGACCGCACCUGCUGGAGUUCGAGAGCUUGCCAGACAGUGGCCCCGAAUCAGAGAGAGAGAAGGUGUGCUGUACAGGGAAGUGCAGAUUCCCCCAUCCAGAGCCCAGGUUUUCCAGCUGCUGUUACCCGCAGCUCUGCGGGGAGAAGUUCUAACUGGCCUGCACAAUAACCACGGCCAUCAAGGAGUGGACCGGACUACAGCCUUAAUCCGUCAACGGUGUUAUUGGCCCAAGAUGUGUCAGGAUAUCAAGCGGUGGUGUGAUGAAUGUCAACGUUGUACAGUAGCAAAAGCUACCCAACCCAGAGUUAGAACAUUUAUGGGCAGUCUUCUGGCUACCAGACCCCUGGAGAUUAUAGCAAUUGACUUCACCAUCCUUGAUCGGGCCAGCAGCGGGCAGGAGAACGUUCUGGUGGUGACAGACGUAUUUUCCAAGUUCACACAGGCGUAUCCCACCCCAGAUCAAAAAGCCAAGACUGUUGUGAAGGUGCUGGUGGAGAAAUGGUUCUAUAUCUACGGGGUACCACAGCGGAUCCAUUCUGACCAAGGCAGGUGUUUUGAAGGAGAGCUACUGCAUCAGCUAUGUGCACUGUAUGGCGUUCAGAAGAGUCGGACCACCCCCUACCAUCCGGAGGGGAAUGGACAGUGUGAGCGGUUUAACCGCACUCUCCACGACCUCUUGCGGACACUGCCCCCAGACAAGAAGAGAAAAUGGCCCCAACUGCUCCCACAGCUUCUUUUUGCCUAUAACACCACAGUGCAUCACUCCACCCAACACUGCCCGUAUGAAUUGAUGUUCGGGCAGAAGCCUCGGCUCCCCGUGGACCAGUUACUUGGUGUCAUAGAAGAAGAUCCCCCAUACGCCAAUACAGCUGACUGGAUGGGGCAACACAAAGAACAUCUGUUGGCGGUGUAUAGUAAUGCCCGGGAAAAGCUGGAAGCUGCUGCAGCCUACCGGAGACGAGACCAUGCUGACCCCGCCCCCAUCCUGUCAAGAGGCACCUUGGUGUACUGUAAGAACCACUUCCAUGGUAGGCACAAGAUACAGGACAUCUGGAGUUCUACAGUCUAUGAGGUGUUGGAAUGCUUGGAUGAGGUGGGCACCCUUUACAAGAUCAAGCCCCUGGGUGACGGCGGCCCCUGCAAAGUCUUACAUCGCACCGAGAUAAAACCAGUCCCAGGUGGGACAGAGGGCAGGCAAACAGAGGCAAUCCACCACCCUCCGCCGGUGCAUGGAGCCGUUGGUACCCCAUCCCUAGUGGCUGAUGCCACUCAUCCUCCAUCUCCAACAUACAGGGAGGUUACCACUCCAGAUGACUCCGAGGACGACAGCAUUUGGAGAGUAUCCAUCACAUCGGCCAGACCAAGUACCAUAGGAAGCCAUGACCCUCUGCCGGGCCUCAGAGGCGAGAGUUUACCGAGUGGUUCCACUCGAGCAAGCAAUGCGAGUCCACCCCUGCCCCCAGUGGAACAGUUGGUUAUACCACCUACAGAGGGAGAAUUAGGUAUGGAUCCCAUGUCACCCGAACCUGUAGAUUCCCCCCCUGUGCAGGCAUCUGGUAGCCCAGCUAGGAACCCUAUACUCAUGUCUACCCUUAGACGUUCGAGACGCUGUACAGCUGGGCAACACUCUAACCCCUUUCACCUACCACAGUCUGCCUCCAACAACUCAGGGUCAGGUACAGUGUAGGUGAAUGCUGCUGAUAAUGUUUCGCUCUCUCUCUCUCUCUCUCUCCUCUUUGUGUAGUAUUAUGUCAGAGUUGGUUCACCGGGUCGGUGAACAUUAAAAGCUGGGGUGUAUGUGAUCAGGUCAGGAUCACGACUAAUUGCAAUCACCUGGGCGUGCGGGCUGGGGGUCAUGGGUACGUAACUUCCUUCCCGACAAACACAAAAGAAGCUCUCCCAAAUUGUUUGGUACGCAAGUUGCUUGUCGCUGGUCGGUACAAACCGCGCACUUCAUGCUGGGUUUUGGUUGCGAACAACUCCCUCGCUGUGGUCUGGACUGUCAUCUCCUCCCUACUCCUGUUUCCCUGUGACUACUCCCUCCUCUGCUCCUGUUGCCCUGGGCUAGCUCGCAUUGUGGAAAAGGCCGAGAUCACAGCUGGCUGUCUAUUACAGUUUGACCACUGUUUUCCCCCAUUAGAGUUUCUUUUGGUAUUAGUGAGUGUUAACCUAACAGCACGUCAAAGUUGGUUGUACAGUAUGCUUGUUUGUGUUGGUUUAUUUUCUUUGUGUUGUAUGCUUGUCUGAGUGUGAUACACUGGUGCAUUUACACUGUUUGCCAGGGUCUGUUACACGACCAGGUGUAGUGCUGUUGCCAUCCCUGAGCUCAUAUUAGCAGCUAGUUAGCGAUUUCAGACUGUUACUCCGAGGCUAUUGAGACUUAUUCUUCCCCCCGGCAGUAUUAGUUUUUAAUGGGUUCUUGUAACCCCUGACUUAGCUUAUCCACACGGGAGACUGUUACUCCUGGGGCAUAGGGGUCUAUCUAUGCCCCAGGUGGUAUUAGUUCAUAUUGAGUUCUUUGUGACUCCCAACCUAGUUUCUCCACACAGUAGACUGUUACUCUUGGGCCAUAGGGGUCUAUGUCCCAGGUAGUAUUAGUUCAUUAUAGCUUCUGCUAUUCAUUGUAGCUGUAUCGGUAGCACUCCACUGGCGCUGAAUAGCGUGGUUGUCUUGUUUUUGUUUCCUUUAUUGAAUGCCCCUCCUUCCCCCUGUUUGCUAGUAUGGCCUGCUAGGUCUAUUAGGUCACACAGUUAAGGUACUCUAGGACUGCCGCCUUCCCCUAGUUUGCGGUGAGGGCACAUUCUAGUGGUUGAGCGUGUACUGAACACCUAUUUAUACUCGUGUGGGUUGUAUUUAGAAAGCUUGAGUGUUACACUUGUGUUUGUGUGUGUGUAUGGCCAUAGAUCACUUUUGGGGCUGGGCAGCCGUCCGAGGGUUACUGUACCUGUGUUAAUUCAGGCCGUGUAGCAGCCACCAAUCCACUGGGCAUUUCAUUUAUGAUUAUGUGUAUUACAUUUUGUUUUCUUUGAUUAUUUCGUAUUGUGUAUUCUGAUUUUGUUUUUAUCGGAUUUACCUACUGUACACCCCUGCCAUCCAUUUUAA